GGAAGUAAAAGUCGUAACAAAGUUUCCGUAGGUGAACCUGUGGAAGGAUCAUUAGCAGAGGAGAGGAUUUGGGGCCAGAGGAGUCUGGUCACAUUUGCGGGGGGGUUGUUUUGUUGUGUCGUGUCGUGUCGUGUGACAUGUGUGACACGUGUGACAUUACACUGUUACACUAUGUUGCAAUAUUACACUUGAGCUCUCAACAAUGGAUCUCUGGGCUCUU
rnacentral:misc_RNA from 1 species